rnacentral:lncRNA from 1 species
AUGGCCCCGCUCCCCUCCCCGCCCCGCCGUCGGUACCGGGAUCGGCACUGGGAACCGCGAUCGGUACCGGGAACCGGCAUCGGUACCGGGAUCGGCCCCGGGAACCGCGAUCGGUACCGGGAACCGCGAUCGGUACCGAGAUCGGCCCCUCGGUACCGGGAUCGGUACCGGAAACAGCAAUCGGGCCUCCGGUACCGGGAUUCGGGAUUGGGAUCGGUACCGGGAACGGAGAUCAGCACCGGGAUCGGCCCCUCGGUACCGGGAUCGGUACCGGGAACCGCGAUCGGGCCUCCGGUACUGGGAUUCGGGAUCGGGAUCGGUACCGGGAACGGAGAUCAGCACCGGGAUUUGGGAUUGGUACCGGGAUCGAUUUCGGGAUCGGCCGUUCGGUACCGAGAUUCGGGAUUGGGAUCGGUACCGGGAACCGGAAUCGGGAUCGGCCCCUCGGUACCGAGAACCGGGAUCGGUACCGGGAACUGGGUUCGGUACCGGGAUCGGCCCCCCGGUACCGGGAUUCGGGUUUGGGAUCGGUACCGGGGACGGGGAUCGGGCCCCCGGUACCGGGUUCGGUACCGGGAACCACGAUCGGUACCGAGAUCGGGAUCCGGGAUCGGCCCCUCGGUACCGGGACCGGUACCGGGAACCGGGAUCGGGGAUCGGCCCCCUGAACCGGAGCCGCCGUUCCUGCCCCCGCCCCGGUACCGGAGCCACCCCCGGGCCCGCUCUCGGUGCCGCCCCCGCGCUCCGGCCCCGCUCCGGUCCCGAUUUCCUCCGCCGGUACCGGAGCCGCCGUUCCCGGGGUUCGGCCCCGCUCCCGGUACCGAUCGCGGUUCCCAUCCCCGGUACCGGCCCCGGGUCCGGCCCCGCUCCCCAUUCCCGGAUCCAUCCGCGGCCCCGGCUCCGUCCUCGCUCCCGGUACCGAUCCCGGAUCCAUCUCCGGUCCCGGUACCGAUCCCGGACCCAAUCCCACUCCCGGUACCGAUCCCGGACCCAAUCCCGGUACCGAUCCCGGACCCAGUCCCGCUUCCGGUACCGAUCCCGGAUCCAUUCCCGCUCCCGGUACCGAUCCCGGACCCAUCUCCGGUCCCGGUACCGAUCCCGGAUCCAUUCCCACUCCCGGUACCGAUCCCGGAUCCAUUCCCGGUCCCGGUCCCGAUCCCGGCUCCAUCCUCGCUCCCGGUACCGAUCCCGGACCCAUUCCCGGUCCCGGAUCCACUCCCGGCUCCAUCCCCCGGUCCCGGUCCCGGUUCCAUUCCCGGUUCCCAUUCCCGGCCCCGAAUCCCGGACCCCAUUCCCGGUUCCGGUUCCGUUCCCCCGGUCCCGGUUUCGAUUCCUGGUCCCGCUCCCGGUUCCGGUUCCAUUUCCCGGUCCCGGAUCCAUUCCCGGUUCCGUUUCCCGGUUCCCGCUCCCGGAUCCAUUCCCGGUUCCAGUUCCCGGUUCCAUUUCCCGGUCCCGAAUCCAUUCCCGGUUCCAGUUCCCGGUCCCGGUCCCGGUUCCGGUCCUGGUCCCGAUCCCGAUCCCGGAUCCAUUCACGGUUCCGGUCCCGGUUCCCGGUCCCGGACCCGAAUCCAUUCCCGGUUCCAGUUCCCGGUUCCAUUUCCCGGUCCCGGUCCCGAAUCCAUUUCCGGUCCCGGUUCCAUUUCCCGGUCCCGGUCCGGGAUCCAUUCCCGGUUCCAUUCCCGGUUCCAUUUCCCGGUUCCGGUCCCGAUCCCGGUUCCGGUUCUAGUUCCCGGUUCCGGUUCCGGUACCGUCCCCCCCUCCCCUCCCCCCCUUCCCCCCUCGCGGAUUUUGGGACCCCCAGAAGGGGCGGGGGGGGUGGGGGAGGGGUCCCGGUGGGGGCGGGGCCUCGGGGGGGGUCCCGGGGUGGGGGAGGGGCGCUCCCGGUGGGGGCGGGGUCCCGGGGUGGGGGCGGGGCCUCGGGGGGUCCCGGUCCCGCCCCUCCCCCCCGUUGCCAUGGCAGCCGCAGCAGCCGCGGGGCCGUUGCCCGGAAACCGGUACCGGUACCGGGAUGGAAACGGGCCGGGGGGACCCCAGAGGCACCCGAAGGCACCCAAAUAA